UACGUAGGGUGCAAGCGUUGUCCGGAAUUAUUGGGCGUAAAGAGCGUGUAGGCGGCCCGAUUAGUCCGCUGUGAAAGUCCAGGGCUCAACCCUGGAAUGCCGGUGGAUACUGUCGGGCUAGAGUCCGGAAGGGGCGAGUGGAAUUCCUGGUGUAGCGGUGAAAUGCGUAGAGAUGUGGAGGAACACCGAUGGCGAAGGCAGCCCCCUGGGUCAACACUGACGCUCAUGCACGAAAGCGUGGGGAGCAAACAGG
rnacentral:rRNA from 1 species